GACGUUCUUACCCUCUGAAUGGUC
rnacentral:siRNA from 1 species